GGGACUGUAGCUCAGUUGGUUAGAGCACACGACUCAUAAUCGUAAGGUCGGGGGUUCGAAUCCUCCCAGUCCCA
rnacentral:tRNA from 1 species